rnacentral:lncRNA from 1 species
GUUUCUAUUGGAUCUGUAACAUACCAGAUUUUGGUAUAAAAAUAAAAAUAAAUAAAAAUAGUGUGAGAUACUAUUUUUAUUGAAUUUAGAGAAGUAAAAUAUAAGUCAGAAGCGACUUGUGCUGAAAUCGGAAUGAAAACAGAAGAUCUAGAAUUUUUUGUUGAAAACGGGACAGAUAAAUUAGCAGAAAUGCAUAGUGUCAGAAAAUUAUGAAAACUGGAGGGUAAGUCAGAAUUAUUUUUAUGAGGCUAGAUUUAAAGUUUCAUGUCAUUCUGUCACCCAGAAGGUGAAAAAUAAAAUCCGACAGCUAUCUGAUAAAGAUUACAGUUCGGUACAAUUUUCAGUGACCAAACGGGGUCGAAACUGAAAACUUAAGAUAUAUUCUUAC